UAGGGAAUCUUGCACAAUGGGCGAAAGCCUGAUGCAGCCAUGCCGCGUGUGUGAAGAAGGCCCUCGGGUUGUAAAGCACUUUCAGUGGCGAAGAAAAAGUCGGCGACAACACCGCCGACCCUUGACGUUAACCACAGAAGAAGCACCGGCCAACUCCGUGCCAGCAGCCGCGGUAAUACGGAGGGUGCGAACGUUAAUCGGAAUUACUGGGCGUAAAGCGCGCGUAGGCGGCUUGCUAAGUGGGAUGUGAAAGCCCCGAGCUCAACUUGGGAACUGCAUUUCAAACUGGCGAGCUAGAGUUCAGUAGAGGGGGGUGGAAUUUCCUGUGUAGCGGUGAAAUGCGUAGAUAUAGGGAGGAACACCAGUGGCGAAGGCGGCCCCCUGGAUUGAAACUGACGCUCAAACGCGAAAGCGUGGGGAGCAAACAGG
rnacentral:rRNA from 1 species